UACGUAGGUGACAAGCGUUGUCCGGAUUUACUGGGCGUAAAGAGCGCGCAGGCGGUUGUUCAAGUCGAGUGUGAAAGCCCCCGGCUCAACUGGGGAGGGUCAUUCGAAACUGGUCGACUCGAAGGCAGGAGAGGGUAGUGGAAUUCCCGGUGUAGUGGUGAAAUGCGUAGAUAUCGGAAGGAACACCAGUGGCGAAGGCGGCUUCCUGGACUAAUACUGACGCUGAGGUGCGAAAGCGUGGGGAGCAAACAGG
rnacentral:rRNA from 1 species